GGGCGGGCGGUGCUCCGCUGGCCCGGCCGAGGAGCGAGCGCAGGCGGAGAGGGGGCGCCGGGGCGCCGCUGCGCCUUCCCGGGGAGCAAGAGGCGGGCGCCCAGUCCACGCGCGGAGGGCCAGUCCCUGCUGCCCCGUAGGAGGCAGCUCCACUGGACCCACUUACCUCUGAGGAAACGGACACGGGGAGCCGGGCGGUUGGAGGAGGGCUAGGCCUCGACCCUGCGGCGGGGCAGAGUUAGGCGCGCCUCAGGCCGGCAUCCGUCGGGGUUUCGCCCGCCCGGCUUGUGCCUGGGACCCGGCUGCAAGAAGUGCACACUCUCGGAAGGAAGUCGCUGGGACUUGCCUCGGAGUAGGAGCGGCCUGCAUAAACCCUCCAUGGGAGGGAGCGUUGCUGAAGUUGGUUGGGGGGGUUGCUCCGGAGGAGGCUCGGUGCUCGGUAGUGGGAAGGGGUGCCCGGUAGUUGGAAGGGGUCGAAGUGGAGUGAAUGGCCGGAGGAUUGAAGGGCAAAAGCGAAGGGGCUCGGGAUGUCUGCCACCUUCUGGGCAAGGAUUAACAGCGCCGUCUUAAUUUUGCAUGCGAGCGAUUGGUGCAUUAACGACAUGCAGCCAGUAUCGGUUUGAUUAUGAUUAUCCUGCCACUGCGGACCCAUCUGUUGAAUUCCUCCUCCAAAGGCGCGCAGGUCAGCCCUCCGUGGUGAGAAGGAGAAAGACGGUAACUGCUGUUUGGAAUUCCAGGGCGGCAGCCAAAAGCUGAUGCCAUCAUAAAUUUGUUGGACUCAACGGUGCUACCCGAUUCUUUUGUUCUGGUUGUGUUGAUGCGGUAAAAAAUUGACCGCUUGUAAUGUCACAAACCCAAAAUUGAGGCCUUUACUUCACAUUGGUUAAUAAAUUCUAACUUCUUCCCCCUGGUUCUCAGUUCUUAUAUUGAAAGGAUGGUUUUUACCUCUGAAAAUUACCAUUCAAAAGGGCUGUUGAGAAGAUACUCUCCCUGUUUAAAAUGUCUCACAUGGCAAUCCUAACCAAGCCUUAAAUUUAGGAAACACGUUGCUGGUGUGGGGGCUGAGAGUGCUAGUUUCACCCUUGGUCAUUGUUCUGCUCUCCCUCCACAACUUGGAAGGUGAUUUUCUGAAGUUGGGAGUCUCCUGUACAGUGGUACCUCGGGUUGCGGACCCAAUCCAUUCUGGGGUGCCGUUCUCACCCUGAAAAGUCCGCAACCCAAGCGGCGUUUUUGUGCAUGCACAAAAGCUCAAUAGAGCACUUCUGCGCAUGCGCACGGGGCGAAACCCAGAAAGUAAGCACUUCCGGGUCCACCGCGUCCGCAACAUUAAAAAGUGCAACCCACAGUGGAUGCAACACGAGGUAUUACAGUACUCUAUGUUUAAUUUUUUUCAGGGUGAAAGCAUGAUGGCUAUGUACUAUCUUUGUUUGACCUCACAGUGUUAACAAAUUCUUCACUAGGCUCCAGAUGCAUAGAUGAAGGGCUGCUAACAAAAGUGAACAAGACAGAAACAAAGAAAAAGCCUAGGUGAGAUACCACACUCAUGGUAAAUAAAUGUGCAAAAAAACCCCACAUUCAAUUGCUUUAAAAGUGGUGUAAGAAAUUUAUGAUACAGGCGAAAAUGAAUUUUUUCAUACCCCAUUUUUGAGAAGUUGCUGGAAUGGACUGCAGUUAUCUUAGGUGAUUUGAUAGUUUCACUUUCUCAUCUUUUCAAUAGGGAUAAAUUGCACCUCUGACAAUGGGCUUUGGUGUAAACUGGAGAGGGAAAUUGAGGGAGUGGAUUGGUUUGGGUAAGGUUGUAGAAAACAGGAAUUUGGUACAGAUUAUUUGUUGAAGAUCUGAAAGAAGGAAUUAAUCAAGUUGAGUGGUAGGGGUAUCUGGAAGGUGAGUGCAAGGAUUGAAGGUCUUUGCAUGGUUUGAGGAGUGGCACUAAUGGGGAAAAUAUCGGUACUAUUUGGUUAAGAUACAGGAUAGGGAUUUUGAAGUAUGAGAACUCUUGGAGAGUGUGAGGUCAUAUACAGUAUAGAGUUAUCAGAGGACAAGCUCUGAACAAUAUUGGGAGCAGAUGGGGUUCCCCAAUGCAGAGUGAGCAACCCCAGAAACUUGUAACAUAUUCUUCACACCAUCCAGAUUAGGAUAUUUUAAAGUUACUUGACAGGUGAAAUAUAAAAAUUAACAUUAUAAUACAGAAGAGAGAAGUUUGAUGUUAAUAAUCAUUGCAUGUUCAGUUAUUCAUUUAGCUGAGUUAUUUUAAAGCCAAACAUAUGAAAUCAACUAUUAACAAUUUAAUUGUUGUAAAUGUUCAGGGAUUAGUCUUAAAAGACAUGAACAUUAUUCAAAGCAGAACAGCUAUAGAAGAAGAAAUGGAAAUAUUUUGAAAAGGAAGUUCGGAUUUUACUGUAGACUGGAAUACCAUUUGGGAUGUGGGUCAUGCUAGCUUAGAGCAUGUUAUUUCAUAAGCUAGUUAUUGGGAUCUAUCCCAAAUGGUAUUCAGUCCCCAGUAAAAAAGAGAAUUUUAAAAAGUAUUUCCAAGCAGCUCACUUUUGUUUACAUAUGGGACUCAGCCGUUUUAGCAAAACCUUUUUGAACUCCUUGAUGCAUAAAACAAAUACAUUAUUAUCAGAGCUUUAUACUUUACAUUUUCCAAGGAAAUAGUUGCACAUAGAGGGCUCAGCAUGAAACUGCAAUCCCACAAAUAGGUUUAUUUAACAUCUUACAGGUUAUACAUUUUAUUCAGUUUUGAAAGUGGGUUUACUUCAACAAAGCAUUCCCUAGCUGGAGCCCUGUGCAUUAAGAAGCAGCACAAAGGCAUAUUGGGGAUGGUGUGAGUUGCAGAUAGUGUAAUGCAAGCAUGCCAAGUAUACCUUUGCUCAUUCAUACACUUGCAUUUGUUUUGCUGCAUAUAGCUGUCAUCAAUACCCUAAGAAGGCAUUUUGAGCAGAUGGUUAGUGACAGGAUUAGCUUUCUCGUCUGGAUGUUUAAUGGGAUCUAAGAAUGUAAUGUGAGGUUUUCAUUUAGUAUGUCUUACCCAGCAACUGUACUGUGUUAAGUUUGAUCAUGUUCCUCAAUAUUAUGCAUCCACUCCCCCUGCCCCCCAUGUAUUACUCUAAAUGUUAACCUGGAAGAAUGAAAAAUUUACCAAAAAGUCUACCUAGCCUACAGGCAUGUCAAACCUGCGGCCCUCCAGAUGUUUUGGACCACAAUUCCCAUCUUCCCCAACCACUGGUCCUGCUAGCUAGGGAUCAUAGGAGUUGUAGGCCAAAACAUCUGGAGGGCCGCAGGUUUGACAUGCCUGCCUUAGAAUGUCGCUCCCGUCACAACAAUACGCUUCAAAACUUUAGGUUUUUGUUUUUUUAAAAUGCAGUUCUAAGUACACUUACAAGGGAGUAAUUCCUGUUUAAUUUGGUAAGAUACACUUCCAGGUAAACAUGCUUAGACUUGUCCUGCAUGAAAUAUUGCUUGUCAGAAAAGAAAACAGGAACAGGGUGGUGGUGACAGCGUGAAGAAAUUAGUUGCCCUAUUUGUGUCCCUUUCAACUUCCGGUAUGCGGUACUGUAGAAGGGCUGUUCUGUCACCCAGAACAGGAGCACUUGUCUUAUACUUUCUAAUGGUAAACUCUGUUGGUCAGCAAGCAUCUGUUCAUAAGCAAAACAGGGUAUUAUAAAAAUAAAAAUAAAAAGUAGUGGUGCUACAUACCUGAGGGUCUCCUUCAGUACACAGAAAUAUUAGCAAAGAAGGUAUGAGAUUAAACCCCCCAAGUUAGCCUGAGAAGGACAGCUUCCAGGAUUUAUGGACUGUUGAAGGCAACAGCAUACAGUAUAGGAAAAUAUUCUAAGUCAACUCACCCCAUUAUCUAUAAAUGGAGAUUCUGGGUUCUUCUAUUUAUUUCAUAAAAUGUGUACACUGCCUAAUUGUAACCUGCUCUAAUGUGUGUGUGUUUUUAAUAUGUGAAUAAUAUGUGUGUGUGUGUUUUUAAUAUGUGAAUAAAACAUUUAAAUUAUCAAUAAAAAAGCUCUGUAAAUCAUACAAAAUAUAAAAUAAACAGUAAACUUAAAGAGACAACUUCUCUCCUGAGAUGCGAGUGAUUCUAUGGAUGACUUUCAGAAAUCCAGAAUUUUAGCAUAGCUGUGAUGGGCCAGAAGCAUGAGCUGCCAGAAACAUGCAGAGAAGAUACAAUGUGUGUUAUUUUGUGUGGAAAACAAAACAAAACAAAAAACUACUUUUUAAAUACAACUUAGGUGUAAGCAUGUUCAUGGAGCACAAAGCUUCUUCCUGCAUUUGAAUGCUGGAUUUAGAUUGGGAGGAAGUCUAAGAAAAUAUAAUUUAAGUAGAUUGACCUUUCCAAGUCUAACCUGAGGUACAGUACAUUUUAUCAGGAAGAUUUUUGGCUGAAAAUCUAAAUCAACCUCAGCCCCACAUCUAACCUACACUGUUAACAUAAUAGACUAUAGGAAUGUUGUAAGUUUAUCCCUGUCUCAGCCACAGGCCCCUGAACCUACAAUAUGCUCUAGAACAGAGGUAUCCAACCGGUUGACCACGAUCAACAGGUCGAUCCCCAGAUGACCAUGGUUGAUUGCGGGAUCCUUUCCACUCGCAUUGUUUAGAAUCAUGUCUCUGCCCCCUCUGUCUUUCCCUGCGUCUCGUUUAAUGGAUGUUCCUUUGUUGUCUGCUGUAGUGCUGCAUUCACCUGUUAGCAACUGUGUUUUUGGUAAGCAAUUUAUUGCAAUUCUUCACACUUAACUGUUAAAAAAUGAGUUUUUUGAAGCCCCCCCCCAAAAGCUCAACAACUUUGAUUAUCUACCCUAAAAAAAGAAAGCUCAACAACUCUGAGCUGCCCCCCCCCUAACUAAAAAAAGCUCGGCAACUCUGAACACCCUCCCCCCAAAAAAUUGGUAGAUCACUGCCCGUUUUAUUCCCCUAGAAGUAAAUCACAGUCUCUUGUGAGUUGGUCGUCCCUCCUCUAGAAUAUUGCUUAAUCGGGAGCUCUUGCCUCUUUGGAUAAACAACCCCUAGUUUAACUAUUAGUUAAGCAGAAUAUAGUUAGUUUCAUCAGUGAUUAACUGAAUGAAAAUGAUACUAAUAUUCUGCAGUGACUGACUAAGCCUUGUAGCCUGAUUCUCAAACGUGUUUUAGCUGGCUUUCAUCACACCUAAAUCAGUGAUGUCCUGUGGGUGAGUGUGUUUUAAAGAACUGAGCAAGUACUGCAGGCUGCUACAAUGGGGCUGGCACAGAAAUGAUGCCUUAUGAUUCUGGCUCAGGAGACACUUGGAUGUGGUGCUGGGCAGAAUCAAAGAAAGGCUUGAUGUCAUGGCAUCAUCUGAGCCACAGUUUUGUCCUGCUUACUCUAUUCUGUUCUGCUAUAGGUGUGUUUCUGCCUAUUGGCUCGCUGAUAAAGUUAAUAGCCCUUUUCAGGGACUCAACCUUAAAAUAUCUUCCAUUAACUGAACAUGUAUUGCUGGAUUUUUAUAGCUGUUUAAACUGGCAGCUUUAAUGUAGCCAUGCAGAACUGUAAAAACAUUUCAAGCACUCUCUCUGAGACAAUGUGGUUUUACUAAAGGCUACAGAGUAAUGACUGUAAAAGUAAAAGGAGUCGAGUAUCUCUUGUUCCAGAAGGAAAAGGCAAAAGCCAGUUCUAUAAAAUCAGAGUUUUAUCAUAAAUUCAGCAAUCCUUGUGUAGUAGGGAUUGAUCCUUUUUGCAUCUUCCCCACUGUGGCUGGGCUAAGGUUUUCUGUAGUAGGUCUUAUCGCUUAAUGCAUCAAGCAGCACCACUUUACAAGUUAUUAUAUCAGCUGCCUAUUUGGGCAGCAUUGCAAAUCUUUCAGCCAGCUACUGUAGUUGUGCCUUUAAUGUGCAAGCAUUAGCACAAUGAUUGGGAAUGUUUUCUGGGUGGCGGCACAUGCUACCAUGAUAGACAGCUUUGGGGGGCUGCAUUCCAGAGCCACACACAGUCACACAUCCUUAACACACACACAAAACUAUUAGCCAUGGAAACAAAGGCAUAUGCUUAAGUCUUAGUAACUCCACUUGAAUUUUACAUUCCAUUUUACCUAUAAACUAUUUUUUUAAAAAAAAAUAAAGUUCAUUAAAAACAACAGCAGCACUCCUACACCCUUUAUUGGCCUGACUAUUCAAAAGGUAAAAAGAGCUCAGUAAUCCUAGCAGAGGAAUGCAGAUAACAUCAAUGCACAGCUGAACUGCAGGCCCUGCCUGACAGCUAUUCAAAGCCUCAAACUUAAAAAUACAAUUCCCUCCCAAAAAUGAUAUGCACGCAGAUGCAAAAUGCAGGGGCUCUUUUUUUGUUGUUGCACAUUUGGAAGGAACAGAUGUCUGUCUCCCUUCUGAGACAUUUCCCCCUCUACUUUAAUCUUGGAGCAGAUCCUUGCAGAGAAAGGAGCUGCAGUUGCACAAUUUGCACAGCAUCAAAGCCUUUUCCCCACCCAGCUGCUCACUGCAGAACAGCUGAUAGGUAGGAGGGGAUCCCGAGGGCUUCAUGAAAUGGCCAGGGGCUCCCCACCCCAGUCUCAGCAGGUGACUGCUUGCAGGUGAUUUUGUUUGCUUGUUGUGGUCUGGCCAGUUGGCAAUCAGUGCUGAGUGCUGGCUAUCUUAUCAAUAACACAUUCUUAUUUCAUGGCCAUAAUAGGCAGCUGAAAUUCUUGAGGUUUAUUUUAGAACAGUAAGUAACAACUCUUGGUCACUUCUGACAAUUGAGAAUGUACUCCAGGUGGAGAGGGGCUUAAAGGUGAUAAGAAGGGGGACGGUUCACAGAUCUGCUUGUUCUGUUAUGCUAAAUGGUCAGAAUAAUUUGGAAAUGACUUGGCAGCUUAGUUCAGGUAACCAAGUAAGAUGAUCUAUGUUUUCUCCUGUUGACAGUAAGCAGAUAUACACUAAUUAAAGGACCAGUAUCAGAGAAGCCUCUUUAAAAUAAAGUGGGGGGGGGGGGGAGAGGCAGGAAUAUUUGCUGACUGAACUAAAUGAAACUUACUGUAUGCAUAUUUAAGAUCCUGCAAGUAUUGCAGGACUGUUGUGAGGCACCUAGUGCUAUAUUUAGUGUCAUGUGGAAAUCCCAUUUUAGUUCCACUUCCAGCUAAUUUCAGAAAAUCUUCGGUUUUGGUCUCAUAAGAAAUCUAUUUACUCCUAAAUCUUUAGCAAUCCACAGCUAAUCCACAUGUCUGAAUCUUCACUGUACCCAGCAGAUUAGUCUGGGAUGGUUGCAUCAGGCCCAUGAAGGGGGAGCAUCCAGGUCCCCUUGCCCCAGGCCUUGGAGGGCUAAGCUGGCUGAGGGCCCCACUAGGACUUCCGCUGCCUUGCCAAGAACAAGACCAGGGUCUGGCCCACCACAUGGUCUGAGGGACGGUGGACCGGCCCAUGGUUGAAAAAGGUUGCUGACCUUUGAACAAGACUCUGGUCCUGGGGCUCACAAACUGCAUGGCCCAGGGUUGCAUGGACAGUUCUUCUAGACCAGGGACAUCCAACUCCCAAGAGACUGCAAUCUACUCACAGAAUAAAAAACUGGCAGUGAUCUACCCCUUUUGGGAGGAUUUCAGGUCAAAGUUGUUAAGCUUUUUUUUAGAGGGGAAUAUCCCAUUUUGGGGGGGUUCAGGUCAAACUUGUUGAGCUUUUUUAAGGGAGGGGAAUUGUUUCCGCUAAGGAAAUAAUCUACCUCACAGCGAAAACUCUGUCUAAUGCCACCGAAAAGGAAAAGGAGCCCGUGGUCGACCAAAGUCAACCAGAACCUCCCGGGAUCGACCUGUCGGACAUCCCUGUUCUAUGCAAAUAAUUUAGAAAUAACUUUAUACUGCCUGCGUUUCCUUGCUGCUGUAUGCAAAAGCACAUGAAUCUGACCUUUGAAUAGUUUAUAAGUAAACCAAAUGUGUGGUCUUUUUCUAUGCAAAGGGAAGUAGGAACUUUGCAAGCAACUUAGAAAGGGGUAUUUUAAAUGUCUAACAGCCUAUAUUUCUACGCUUUAUCAUCUGCUCAUUUUGUAGUUUUAUAUAUGUUGGGGUACUUGCCCCAAACCUGGGUUAGCACUGAAAGCUAAUCAGAUUCCUUUAAAAUCUGCUUUAAAUAUCUUUCAAAUUGUGCUAAAGUUCUCUCAACCCAAACCCAGAUGUGAGUCUCUCAUGUCCAAAUUGGUGUGGCCAAAAUUUCAGAGUAGGCAUGACCCAAGUAUAAAAGUGGAUGUGGCCAAUUUGUGUUGGGUAGGGGUUGAGUAUGUAGCAUAUUGCUUGCAUUUUUAAAGGGCUCUGUAAGUGUUCCCACAUACUAACAUAGAAGAUGCACUGGAUUUUGAAAAGGAUGCAGUUCUGGGAAUAAAGAUCCCUAAAUUUACAAUUUGAGUGCUGUGAUUUCCCUGCAAUACAUGCUAGCGUGAGGAAAUAUAUUUGGGGUUGCAUGUAACACUAUGCAAUUAACAGUGCACCGGGAAACGGCAUUUGGAAAGUCCAGCUAUCCUGACAGUUAAGUGCUAAAGCCCUCCAUGAGCUAAAAGCAUAUUUAAAAUAGUUUCUGAAAACUCUUGCUAAUAUUGGCUUGGCCGUGUUAUUUGAUGUGUCAUAGGGUGUGUUGGAUGUUUUGCUCAAUGUUACUCACAUAAUGUUAGCUGAAUCCAAAGUGAUUGUGAAAUGUUUUGGCUUCCACGGUUCACGUCAUAGGAGAAAUAUUAUGAUCAGCGUGGCUGUUAAAGAUGGUUCAGCGGAAGGCCUGGUCUUGGAAAUGGUUAGAAAAUAUAGAUCCGUAUGUGACAGUCAAUGCUAACAAGCCAAUUCCAAAUAUGGUUACUCCGAAGCAAUACGCCUCUGAAUGCCAGUCGCUGGGAAUCAUAAGUCAGGAAAGGGCUGUUGCACUCAAUUCCUGUUUACGGGCUUCCCAUAGGAUCUGGUUGGCUGCUGUGAGAACAGAAUGUUGGACCUCACAGAACUAUGACCUGAUCAAACAAGGAUCAGCUUAUGUUCUUAAACAGUUUGACUGUAUUCCCCUUGGUCCAGCAGUUUUCUGUGAUUGGGUGCACAUGGAGGUGCCAACCAUCAUUCCAAUGCCGGAGGCAGGUCCCCACCCACAAAGGACUGCCCAGGAUUAAUGAGUAGUCAAGAAGGCUAUUUCCAUAUUCCAACUGACAGCGGGAGGAGCUGCUAGCACCUAACAUAGUGGGAAGGAGACGAAUUGUGCCACUGUGGACCAUUGUGCCAUACAGCCCUUCACCCAAAAAUCAUAGGGCGGAUUACAAGUUUUAUAAAAUUAUAUGUUUAUUAAAUUUAUUGCUGGCACUAAAAAGGUCCUCGAGCAAUUUACAACCAAAGUAAAAAAAAAAGAUGCAAUAAUAAACACCAUUAACAUGGAUUUAACAAUAUAAUAUGUCACGCUGGAGCACAAGAAAGCAAAAACGACUUUGGUGCUGAAACAAUGGCAAGGCUGGGGUCAGGCAAGCCUCUGUGGAGAAAGCAUUCCUGUUGCUGCCACCCUCUGGACUUCUCUUGAAGGUGACAUGUAGAGAAGAGCCGCAGGUGAUCUCAGGUUCAGGCAAGUUAGUGUGGGAAAGGCUGUCUUAGUCUUGUUAAUGGACCGCAUGGAGGGUGGCGCCGGGAGGACUCCAUCUCAACCUGCCUUGUCCAUCCUUAUCCCUCCUUGGUGCUCCUCACCUGGGCCCAAUGCUAGGCAGGGACUUGUGAAGCUGGUUCCUGUCCCUUCUAUCCCCUCGCAUCUGACGCUGUUUCCCACAGGGCAACGCCAUACUCAUACAAUGCAGCCUGGAAUGGCACAGUCUAAGCAAAGCUUUUAAACAGAACAAACCUCUUUUUUAGGACUAGAGAGGACUGAAGUUAAUCAUAGGUGGGCAUGAAAUUAAUAAACCCAAUGUGAAAAUUGCAUGCUUCUUGACGAGUUCGCAGCUCAACCUACUGAAUGUAGGGUGAUACAGUAACACUAAAUAAAGAGUCAGACUCAAAGACUUUGUCCCCACUUCGUUUGCCUGCAAAGGUAUUCCUUCCACUUUCAAAGGAAGACUUUUUACACCUAGUCCUCUGGAAAAAGUUAAGGCAUUGAAUGACCCCAUGAUAAUUCUGUAGACAUUUGGAACCCAUAUGGGGCAUAUAGACUGAAGACUUGUUGGCAUGUGGACUCUGAAUAUCCUGUCACAACAAUACAUGUAAAUUAUGACCACCACACACACUUAACCCCCCCCCCACUUCUUUCCCGCAAGCCAUCUGUACAGCAUUAGGGGAGGUGGGAAGAAAGAGGGAACAAAAAAAUAAAUAAAUGGAAAUAAUACUGAAUAGAGUCCUUCAGAAGUCUUGAAAUCCAGAAAAAUGCUUCUGGCACAGAGGUGCCGAAGAGAUGCAAAAGAAAUUCACGAGGCUGGUGAUGAUUCUUUUUGAACACAAACUAGACGUGUCCUCGUACAAACACAAACUAGUAGAGGGUUCGUCUCAUUUUCUCAGGCACAUAAUGAUUCAUUUACAGGCUGUCAACUACUUAACAUUGGCGUGUCCUGCCACCCAGUUGAUUUUUCUUAUCAUGUCAUUAACGUAUUAAAAUGUUUUUCCAGCCUCAGUGGAAGGGAUGGUUUGGAGGCGCUUAACCAAGAUCCACUUUCCUUGACUGACCAAACGUAGACAAACCAAUUGGUGUUAUAAAAAUAUUUGUGUCCUUUACUGCAGUCUACAUGAAACCCUGUUAAAAAUUACAGGGGAGAGGAAUAACUUCGCAUCUGUAGAUAAUGAGUUGGCACCCAAGUCCUAAAGGUUUGUAUCAGCUAGAAUAUUUGUGUGAGAGAGUGAGAGGGUAGCACCACAUCUCUGCAAGGUCAGCAGCUCUGCUUUAUGUUUUAGGUGCGCCAUAUAUAAUUAUACUAUUUGCUGUUGUAUAAUUUAAUACAACACGUGCCUGGCGUGCUCUGGUCCAUGGGGUCACGAAGAGUCGGACACGACUAAAUGACUAAACAACAACAAAUUUUAUAUUACUGAUGGGUUGUAGUAACCUGAUAUGAGUUGCCUCGUGAGUUCUGCCAUGUCAAACUUGCAGAAAAGAGAGAGGGAAAGGACUCAAAGCAAAAUCUUAAGAGCAUAUAAAGAGCCUGCUGGAUCAGGCCAAUGGCCCAUCUACUCUAGCAUCCUUUUCUCACAGUGGCAACCCAAUGCCUGUGGGAAACACACAAGCAAGACCUGAGCACAGCACCUUCUCCUUUCCUGUGGUUCCUAGUAACUAAUAUUCGGAAGCAUUUCUAGUACCUGCAACUGGGGUGGCAGAGCAUAUCUUCAUGUCUACUAGUCAUCAAUAGCCCUCUCCUCCACAAAUGUGUCUAAAGUCAUCUUUAGACUUUUAAAGUCAUCUAGGUUGCUGGCCGUCACUGCCUUCUGUGGAAGCAAGUUCUAUAGUUUACGCUCUACAUAAAGAAAUACUUUCUUUUUGUUGUUGUUGUUGUUUAGUCGUUUAGUCGUGUCCGACUCUUCGUGACCCCAUGGACCAUAGCAUGCCAGGCACUCCUGUCUUCCACUGCCUCCCGCAGUUUGGUCAAACUCAUGUUCGUAGCUUCGAGAACACUGUCCAACCAUCUCGUCCUCUGUCGUCCCCUUCUCCUAGCGCCCUCCAUCUUUCCCAACAUCAAGGUCUUUUCCAAGGAUUCUUCUCUUCUCAUGAGGUGGCCAAAGUAUUGGAGCCUCAGCUUCACGAUCUGUCCUUCCAGUGAGCACUCAGGGCUGAUUUCCUUAAGAAUGGAUAGGUUUGAUCUUCUUGCAGUCCAUGGGACUCUCAAGAGUCUCCUCCAGCACCAUAAUUCAAAAGCAUCAAUUCUUCGGCGAUCAGCCUUCUUUAUGGUCCAGCUCUCACUUCCAUACAU